rnacentral:piRNA from 1 species
UGCGCGACAUCAAGGAGAAGCUGUGCUACGU